CUAAUCUGCGAUAAGCGCCGGUAAGGUGAUAUGAACCGUUAUAACCGGCGAUACCCGAAUGGGGAAACCCAGUGUGACUCGUCACACUAUCAUUAACUGAAUCCAUAGGUUAAUGAGGCGAACCGGGGGAACUGAAACAUCUAAGUACCCCGAGGAAAAGAAAUCAACCGAGAUUCCCCCAGUAGCGGCGAGCGAACGGGGAGGAGCCCAGAGCCUGAAUCAGCAUGUGUGUUAGUGGAAGCGUCUGGAAAGGCGCGCGAUACAGGGUGACAGCCCCGUACACAAAAGCGCAUGUGCUGUGAGCUCGAUGAGUAGGGCGGGACACGUGGUAUCCUGUCUGAAUAUGGGGGGACCAUCCUCCAAGGCUAAAUACUCCUGACUGACCGAUAGUGAACCAGUACCGUGAGGGAAAGGCGAAAAGAACCCCGGCGAGGGGAGUGAAAAAGAACCUGAAACCGUGUACGUACAAGCAGUGGGAGCACAGGUUUACCUGUGUGACUGCGUACCUUUUGUAUAAUGGGUCAGCGACUUAUAUUCUGUAGCAAGGUUAACCGAAUAGGGGAGCCGGAGGGAAACCGAGUCUUAAC
rnacentral:rRNA from 1 species